rfam:Lepisosteus oculatus linkage group LG25, whole genome shotgun sequence.
AGACUCCCGAAGUCAAGCGUGGGUGGAGCCUGUGAGACAGCCGCCAGGCGACCCAUUCUUGGUUUCAGGGGUCA